rnacentral:rRNA from 1 species
UACGGAGGGUGCAAGCGUUAUCCGGAUUCACUGGGUUUAAAGGGUGCGUAGGUGAGUUGGUAAGUCAGUGGUGAAAUCUCCGAGCUUAACUUGGAAACUGCCAUUGAUACUAUCAGUCUUGAAUAUUGUGGAGGUCAGCGGAAUAUGUCAUGUAGCGGUGAAAUGCUUAGAGAUGACAUAGAACACCAAUUGCGAAGGCAGCUGGCUACACAUAUAUUGACACUGAGGCACGAAAGCGUGGGGAUCAAACAGG